rnacentral:rRNA from 1 species
GAUGAACGCUGGCGGCGUGCCUAAGACAUGCAAGGCGAGCGAACAGACGAGGAGCUGGCUCCGUGGACGGGAGCGGCGGACGGGUGAGGAACACGUAGGGAACCGACCGAGAAGACUGGGAUAACUGCGGGAAACCGGAGCUAAUACCGGAUAAUAUUUCGAACCGCAUGGUUCGAUAGUGAAAGAUGGCUUUGCUAUCACUUAUAGAUGGACCUGCGCCGUAUUAGCUAGUUGGUAAGGUAACGCCUUACAACGGCAACGAUACGUAGCAAACCUGAAAGGGUGAUCGGCCACACUGGAACUGAGACACGGUCCAGACUCCUACGGGAGGCAGCAGUAGGGAAUCUUCCGCAAUGGGCGAAAGCCUGACGGAGCAACGCCGCGUGAGUGAUGAAGGUCUUCGGAUCGUAAAACUCUGUUAUUAGGGAAGAACAAACGUGUAAGUAACUGUGCACGUCUUGACGGUACCUAAUCAGAAAGCCACGGCUAACUACGUG